ensembl:lncRNA
GUGAGAGCGGUGGUGGGGGGUGCGAGUGGCGCGGAGUUUUGAAUUGUUUGCUGUCCCUUUUUCACGGUUUUCCCUGGUUUCUCCGUCUGUUCUAUGUGCAUGAUCAGGCUUGCAGGAGUCGAGGUGGACAGAUUUUUUUGGUCCAGACGUUUCACCGAAAGGCAGCUGGCGGUCUUUGUACAAGCUGCCCGUUGAAAAACGGACAGCAGACCUCCAGUGGAGGAUUGUACAUGGAGCAAUAGCUACCAACAGGUACAGAGCACACCUGGAUCCAGAGCAGGGGGUGGAGUGUAUUUUCUGCUCCCAGAUUGAGACCCUGGUGCAUUUAUUCGUUCAGUGUCCUCGGCUGACAGUAUUGUUUGAGCUUGUAAAAAAGUGGUUUCAGGGUCUAGGGGAGAAUUUUUCUUUUGAUUUGGUUAUUUUUGGCCCAAAGUACUGUGCUCAGAAGAAGAAUGUACACACAUUGGUGAACUUUAUAUCGGGUUCUGCCAAAUUGGCCAUCUGGCUAACACGCAGGAACCGGGUUCAGAGUAUCGGUAGUGUGGAGCCGGUGCUGGUUCUGAAGGGCCUGUUGAAGGCCCGACUGAGGGUGGAACAUGCCUAUUAUCAAAUGAUGGAUGAUAUGCAGGGCUUCAGUCAUAUAUGGGCUGUUGGAGGGGUUUUAUGCUCUGUGGGGGGUGAAGGAGAGCUGAAUGUAAGCUUCUGACUACAGAAACACGUUUUUUUUUGUUUGUUGUAUUUUAGGGAUGUUUCUGUUUUGUUUUUUUUUUUGUUUUUUU